UUAACAAUUUUAUUAUUUGCUCAGACACAAACUGAAACGAUUUUUACAGGUCUCCGGCAGGCACAAAGGCCCACCGAAGCAACAUGCGUCAUUCGCACAGGGUUGGAGGUUGGGCCAGAAGACCCUAACUCGGUAAUGAUCCUUCCGCAGGUUCACCUACGGAACAUAUUCUCUCAACCAUCUCAGGUGAGACCGGUCAUAUUAUAGUCCCUAGUUAACUAUUGUAGACGGGAUCACCGCGGCUUGAUCUGUGGGCCUUAUGAAAAGGCUGCUGGUACAACAAUAGUUGAUCACAGCAUUUCAGCGGUGUUGUCCUGCCCGUAGAGGGGCGAACUCCAUGGUUAAUUAUAGUCGUCCAUGUUAGGCUUCAGUAGGUUAAAAGUUUUAACCGGAAGGAAAA
rnacentral:misc_RNA from 1 species